ensembl:lncRNA
CAUAUCUUUACAUUAUUUGUAGACUUUCUUCUUUAUGUUGUAACAUAGCUUGUUGGCUGACAACGUGUAUUUCCCAUUUAGUCAUUUCUUUUCCAGGAUGCUUAUUAAAAUGACGGACUUUCUAAACACAAGAGACAAUUGCCCAUGAAAUACCUGAAAGAAAAUGACCCACACGGCAGAUUUUCUCCUAGAAGGAGCCCGUAGGCACAUGAUGGCAUGCCUCUCAGUACAAACACAAACAAGCAAUUACCUGAGCUGCUUCCUGUGGGAAACUCAGCAUCCUACCACCCAGGGUAGUUACAGAAAACUUAUUAUCCUGAUGCUGAGAAGCAAACACUUUAAGAGGGACAUCAGCUACUUGUGUCGCAGAGCAGCCCUGUUCCAGAGCAUCACCAGAACUCAUGGCCACAACCAGUGUAACCUCUGCAGUGGGUGUUGUUGUGCUGCCCUCACUAUAUGUGUGAUUCAGUCCUAUCAGUUGUGUCCAACUCUGCACCCCCAUGGACUGUUGCCCUCUGCAAGCUCCUCUGUCCAUGGGAUUUUUCCAGGCAAGAAUACUGGAGUGGGGUGCCAUGCCCUCCUCCAGGGGAUUUUCCCCAACCAGGGAUUGAACCCGUAUCUCUGACAUCUUAUGCAGUGACAGGUAGGUUCUUUACCAUAGUGCCACAGGGGAAGCCCACCAGACAAUGAGCUAGUGUCUUAUUUCACUCUUGUAAUAAUCCAUCAAAGUCCUUAUUAAUACUCUCAUCUCAGUUUAAUAGGAAAAGAGAGAGAGAAAAAGGAGAGUUAGAGGGUGAAUUCAUUUCUUCAACUGAGUGAUGAAAAGAGCUUUGUACCCUCGUCUCCCUGACUUCAAGACCCAGUCUCUUUUCAACCAUUUCACCAUUAAAUCAUGGUGCUAUGUUGCCAAGUAUGGAAGGUUUAAAGUAAGUGAGUGACAAGAUCAAUGCAGAAUUUUGGGUGGAAAAAAAAAGUCUAAACGGGGUGUGCGAUUCUGGAGGGGAAGACACUCUAUUCAUGUCUACCGGAGUUCCUCUGACUGGAAAAUGGAAACCACCUCCCACUUGAUUAAGUGCCUUCCCUGAUGCCUGUCCUCAGAGUCGUUCUCAUUCUCUUCCCUGCUGUGAAGCCAGGUUUAGGAGGAGAUGGAAGAGAUAAGCAGAUGAAUAAAAAUAAGCAGACCAGAUAAUGUUGGCUGAUU